GCACUUUGGGAGGCCGAGGCAGGUGGAUCACGAGGUCAGGAGUAUGAGACCAGCCUGGCCAACAUAGUGAAACCCCAUCUCUACUAAAAGUAAAAAAAAAAAAAAAAAAAAAAAAAAAAAAAAAAAAUUAGCUGGGCGUGGUGGCAGGCACCUGUAGUCCCAGCUACUUGGGAGGCUGAGGCAGGAGAAUCGCUUGAACCUGGGAGGCAGAGGUUGCAGUGAGCCAAGAUUGUGCCAUUUCACUCCAGCCCGGGUGACACAGUGCAAGACUCCGUCUUACCAAAAAAAAAAGCAAGUGAAAUUGACAUUUUAAUUUAGUCUGACUGCAUUUUUCUAUAAUUUUCUAAGAAUUUGUCACUUUUUAGUAUUUUCUCUUUUCUGAUAAACUGUUCCAGCUUUUCAUCACUUUUUAAUCAGCUUUCAUCAGUUUUAUCAUACUCAACCUCUGGUAUUUUUCUUUGUAUGCUCUCUUUUUCUCCUUUUUUUGUUUUGUUCAUGAGACAGGUCUUGCUCUGUUGCCCAGGCUGGAAUGCAGUGGUGUAAUCUUGGCUCAUUGCAGCCUCAACCACCUGGGCUUAAGCGAUCCUCCUAUCUCAGCCUCCCAAAGUAGUUGGGACC
rnacentral:lncRNA from 1 species